GGAACCCUAGCCUAUCCCCAUGAGUUGCCGCCCACCUCCGCCAAUCCCUGCCCUAUCUCCUCCGCCACGAGCCGGAUGCAGUUGCGCGGAGGCGUGCGAGCAGCGGCGCUGGUCGCGCGAUCGGGAGGAGGAAGCUGGGAGGACGGCGCGAGACGAGGGGGCCGCCGAGCACGACGACGAGGCUCGCAGGAAGGGCGCCACCAGGCCGUCGACGUGCGCUCUCGCGCCCCUAGCACCCUGCUCGAGCUCCACCCUCAGACGGCGAUGGCGGACUCAUCCCUCCGGCGACUACAGGUAUGAUGCGCAGUCCUCCUUUGUUUAGUUCGAUUACUUCUGUAGAUUCCCGCAGCUGCAGGCGUCACGGUGGCGGCGUUCACCAUCUGUCGGAGUGACAGGUCUCGGGCGAACCUAGGGGCAGGGGCGAGCCUCGAGUUCCACCCCAUCUACGCGCUCAAGCUUAUGUUCCCAGCGCAGAUCCGCAUCGGCAGUUAACUACUGCGAGCCUUUUGCUGCUACUCUGUAUCUCUGUUGUCUAGGAUCAAGGCAUUUUUCUGACCGUAUUAUAUAUUUUGUGUGUAGCAUAUCAAUCUGCGCAGGGUAUUUUUCUGAUUGUACAAUUCAAUAUUGCUUUGAGAUUAUUCCUUCAUAUUUCUGCUGAUUGUUGGUUAUGGACCAUUCAUGCUAUAAGCUGCCAACUGUACGUCUAUACUAAUGGUCCCGUCAGUACUGGUGGCAACAUACUUUGCUCUACUUCUUUUAUCUUUUGGGUGCCUGUUGGUUCAGCUUCUAUCUGGAAUAUUGUUGUGCGGCCCACAAAGGUGCGCGGGGCGCUGGUAGCACCUCGAGAUUCACCUUGAUCUUGCGUCGUUAUCCUCAUCGGGAGCAGCGCCGCCUCCGCUUCGCGCAGUCAUCCUUCAAGCCCCUCCCUUUCACCCUUUCCCUCAAGGCCGCCAAGGUCGUCCUCGACCAGCACAAGCCAGGUAAUUGUGCUCCUCUCCAUCAUCCUCUGGCGCGAUAAUGGCAAGACCAUCAUGCAGCAGGAACAAUCAGUAUGAGUAAUUGUGCUCCAUGUUGGUUAAUUUCUGAACCAAGUAUUCAGAUUUGAGAAGCCCAACAGAAAGAGUUCAGUAAUAUCUUACUUAUGAAUGCUGGUCACUCAUUAAUUGCGAAAACUUUCAUGUCGUCUAAAAGUCAUGCUUCACAGGUUUAUGGCUUGAUGGAUUCAAAAAUUGAGCUCAGUUCUAACUAUGAAAGAGUUAUCAGAUCUCCAAGAAGUGAUGGAUGGCAAAGAAUUGUUCGUUUGCACCUAUAUUUAUCAGAUAUUGUUAGAAGAUGAAGCUAGAUAUUACUAGACUUCUAUUUUGGGAUUCUAGAUCUGUCCCAGAUGACAAUCGUUUAAUCUACUUGUGCACAGUUU